rnacentral:lncRNA from 1 species
UAGAUUGUAUGUAGGGGUAUAUGUAUUUGUGUUGAUAUGAUAAUAGUAAUGAGAAAGGAAGAAAAGAUGUGAAUGUGAUGGUGAAUUUUUGAAAGAAAAAUAAAGUAAAAUGGGACUGUAAUUUUGUUUCUCGUGUGUUAUUGCUGCUUGUUGUACAAAAAUAUAUUUUUUCUUUUGGCUUGUGUUUUGUGUGCAGAUGGGUGCUCUCUUUUUCUCUUUGUUUUUUUUGUGGGUAUGUUUCUUAGG